rnacentral:rRNA from 1 species
UACGAAGGGGGCUAGCGUUGUUCGGAAUUACUGGGCGUAAAGGGCGCGUAGGCGGUCCUGAUCGUCGGAUGUGAAAGGCCUGGGCCUCAACCUGGGAACUGCAUCCGAUACGGCGGGACUGGAGUGUGGGAGAGGUUGGUGGAAUUCCCAGUGUAGAGGUGAAAUUCGUAGAUAUUGGGAAGAACACCGGUGGCGAAGGCGGCCAACUGGACCACAACUGACGCUGAGGCGCGAAAGCGUGGGGAGCAAACAGG